rnacentral:lncRNA from 1 species
GAGCGUGUCACGACUAGGAGUGUGUCUUCUGUAAUUGCAGGUCCCACCCUUGGCUCGAAUUGCCGUCGUGGCUUUUGUCUUUUCUUGCAGAUGCGAGCGAGGCUUCCUGGGGCCCCUGCUUGCCACGCAGCUGCAGCUUCGUGCUUGGCGUUUCCCUGGUACGUACGUGCGCGUCCUCAAGUCCGCGGGCUUGAGUCCCAGUGUUCUUUUACAUUUCUGGGUUUCAGAUCUUAGGAGAACCUCCCCUGCCCUUAUCUUAGGAAACAAUCUUGUAUUCUAAUCCGGUUACAGAUGUGGCUACGACCUCAGGUGUCCCGUCCACCCGGAGCCCGUUCGCCACGUGGGCAGGUGUCAGAACCUCCUUGCGCCAUUCAUGACGUCACCCGCCCUUCCUGGUGACUCCAAGAUCCGCCUUGGAAACGGAGUGCUCCGCGCGCGAGGCUGCGUGUGCCCCUGGGUGUGCCUCCAGCAGCGUCCGUGCAGGUUCACCAGCCGGUGAGGCCAGGCCCCCCUGCGCGUCUGUAAAAGCUGACCACCACUUCUUGAGAUUUAUUCUGACAGAUGGAUGUUGGAAUCCAUUUGUCCAGUUGCAGAAUAACACCGGAUUUUUUUCAUGACGAACGGCUGAUGAAUUUGAGAGAAAUACCCUUUCACUACGUGCUGAUCCUCGACGUAGCCCCUCGUUUAAUUACUAGUUGCUGCGGCGGGUUCUCUUGUGCCGUCUCCUGGUGGUGACAAACCCGGUGGGUCGCGGCGUGUCCCGCAGCGCCGCCAGACCCCGGGGCCGCUGUUGGGUCAGCACAGCCGCAUCAGAGGACUCAGGCAUCUGCUUCACAGUGAGAUGGGUCUCUGGUCCUUCGGUGUCCUCGCUGGAGGUGAGCUCGGGAUUGUGGCGGCCUGACAGGGGGUUGGGCACCCCCUGGAGUAGUCUGGCCCUUGGGGGGUCUGGAGGGCUCAGGAAGCUGCAGGAUCAGUGGGUGGGGACGCCCUACUGAUCUGCACGCCCCCCACCUCCUUGCCCGGUGGGUGCUGGGCACCCUCCCAUGGGGCUGGGGCCUGUCCCUCUCGGAGUAUCUGCCCAUCUCCUCGUUUGCACCUGACCUCCGCCCGGUUAGAGGUCUUAUUGUGCCCACUUGACCCCUAAGAAGCAGACCUGGAAAAGAGAAGACCUUGACGCUCUGAGAUCUUUACUGUGUUUGCAGGAAACGCCUGGACCCCAAUGUCUUGCUGUUUGAUCGUGACCCAGCUCUGCGUCCCCUGGAUACACGCAGCUCAAGGGGGCAUGGUGGGCAGGGCUUGCAGGCAGAGGAACCCAGUUCCAGCGGCCCGGCAAUGACUUGGUGGAAGGCAG